CGUGACAGUGGUCAGCUAUGCAUUGUUUUAAUUGUCUUUUCGGUUGUCCUACGUAGGCUUUUCCACAUGAACAUGUGAUGAGAUAGAUUACUCCCUUUUCCUUGCAAGAGAUGAUACCCCUAACAGGGAUGUUUCCACCUGUAUGUGGGUGUCUGAAGGAUGUUUUUGUAGUGCUAUUGAACUGUGAGCAUGAGUCACAUUGGUAUUUCCAACUUGUAUUGUGUGUCAAGAGUGUCUGAGUGGGCUCAUGGGGCAGGUCAGAUCUCACUAAGCCAUCCUGGGUUGGUCCUUGAGGUGUGCAAUUGUUGUGUCUGAUUGCAGAAUAUGCCAGUGCUUCUUCAGGAUUGCUUUCAUUUUCUCUGAACACUUGGUGUACUUAGUGCAAAAUAUUUGUUUUUCUUCUUUGGUUUAGUUUUUAGCAAUUCUUCUCGUGGUUUUUGAGAUAUUUCCAUCGUUGCAUCAUCAAUAGUUUUUUCCAUGUAGCCUCUGAUUUUGAAAUUAUUUGUCAUUUUCUUAGCAUUGCUGUCAAAAUCUGAAUGUUGGCCACAGAUUAGUUUAACCCUGCAUAACUGGCUGUAUGGUAGACCAUUCCUGAGGGGAAGGGGAUGCAUAAUAUCUCCACGUAGCAGGGUAUUGAGGUCUGUUGUGCUUUGUGUACAAGUCUGUAUGUAAUGCACCACUCUUUGAUGAUCCAUAAGUCCAGGUAGUUUAUAUUUCUCUCAACAGUGAACAGUGAAUUUGAGAUAUUCAGAGCUCUCGCUUAGCAGAGUUUGGAAUUCAUUUAGUUCCUGCUGACUUCCUUCCCAGAGCACAGACAUCAUCUAUGUAUCUCUUCCAUGAGAGGAUUUUAGAAAGUAGGGAGUGUCUCUGUUUUGUGAGUGUUUCCUCAAAUUGUUCCACAUACAGGUUCACAUAGUUGGGGGCAAAGGAAAAUAGGAAAAAUAAAAAACUCUGACUCAAAGAUGAAGCAGCUAUUGGAUAAUACCAAUUUAGUGAGUUUCAAGAUGCAACCAUUGGCUGGAGAAACGGUAGGGUCUCUCUACUGAAGGAAGUGUUGUAGGUCACAAAAUAUUAUUUAAAAGUUUGCAUUAAAGUGUCUGUAAUAGAAUAUACUUGUCUAAAACGAAUAUAGACAUUAAUAAAUGCAUUUCUAUAGCUUCCUACAUCUGUUUUACACUGGAGGAGGAGUAACAAGAUGGCUGUGCAGUUGCCUCCAAACAGAGGCCCCUGUUAGUCAUCUAGGGUUAAUACAUAUCAUUGGACUGAACUGAAAAUAUAUCAGAACCUCCCUGAUGUUGACUUUCAUGUUGCAGGUGUUCUGGCCUGUUUUGGUCGACGAGAUUUGAAUGCCACAAUGCCAGAUAGACUGGAUGUACUGACUGGCUCCUGUGUGCAAAUCCCAUGUUCAUUUGAUAUUCCUGACCAAAAUAAGUAUACAUUUAACAGCACAAUACUAACCUCUGGAGUGUGGAUAAAAGAAAUCCCGUACUUUGAUCUACAUCCGGACAGAGUGAUAUUUAACAGUAGUAAGAUGGUCAACAGAUAUCAAGGGAAGAUAACUGGAAACAUGUCCCAGAAGAACUGCACCACAGUCUUCUUCAAUAUAACCACCAGUUACUCUGAUAAAUACUACCUCAGGAUUGAGAGUCAACCAUUCCGUGCAACAGACAUUAGAAAGUCUGUUAAUAUCGUUGUCAGGGGUAAGAGACAAUUCAACUUUUAACCAACUAUUUUUUCCAGUUUAGAUUCCUUUCAUCAAAGAUAAGAGUAGAACAAGUGGACAGUUUAACUGUUAGUGUAAAAUAGAUUUAUCUACAAUGUAUUACAGAUUUUCCUUCCAGUCCCAUCAUUACUGUCUCAGGUGAGGUGAAGGAUGGGACCCCUGUCAGCUUGAACUGCUCUGCUGUCGCUCCCUGUCCCGAACACCCCCCUGAGCUGACAUGGACUCUCCCAACAUAGUUCACACCUGAGAACCAACUGCAGGAGAAUCCAGACCAAACUAAAUCAGUUCUCUCCACGGUGACCUUCACUCCGUCAUACCUUCAUCAUGAGAAGAACAUCACUUGUACCUCAGUAUACCCAGUAGGGAUAAUCAACAAGAGAGCUGAACAUAACAUGGUGCUUAACGUUUCAUUCUCUCCUAAGGACACCUUGGCCUCCAUCAGUCCAGCUGAUCCAGUAUUAGUGGGCAGCUGUGUUAAUCUGACCUGCAGCAGUACAGCCAACCCUCCUGUGACAACCUUCACCUUGUUCCAGAUCUGUGGAGAUAAACAAAUACAGGUAGCAUCUGGACAGAGCUACACCCUCAAUGUGACUGCUGGUGAUGGAGGACUGUACUACUGUGAAGGAAGAAAUAGUCACGGCUGUGGGAAGUCGAAUGAAGUGCAGCUGGCUAUAAAAGGGCAUGAAGAGCCUGUUAACCCAAAGGUUUUUGAGAUUGUAGGAAAAACCUUGGGGUUGAUUUUCCUUUUCA